AUGCUUACCUGGCAGGGGAGAUAUGAUGAUCAUGAAGAUGGUUUUCCCAGGGCGAGGCUUAUCCAUUUCACUCCGGAUGUGCUGGCCCCUGUAAUAUCCCCAACUGUGGAAAACUCGACUGAAUAAUUUGUGGUAGUCGGGGACUGUGUUCGUGCUUUCCCCUG
ensembl:snRNA U1 U1 spliceosomal RNA